GUUGCUACCCCAUCUCCAAUAUUUUAUAACAAUAAAAUAUACAAAGCAAAAGAAGACACAGAAAUAUGACAUACAAAUCAAAAGAAAAUACCAAGUCUGGAGAGUUUUUAUGAAGGCUCAUGUUUUAGAUUUCAGUGAAUAAAGUCUUUUUAGAUGAUGUAUUCUAUAAGUUUCAUGCUAAUAAGCAACCAGACAAUCAUCACGUUCUGGGGGUGCUUGAAGAUAGCCGAAUUACGGCUUGGAAUGUGAGUCUUAAAUUUAGGAGGACGUUCAUGAAAAAUAUUACGGUUAUUUUCAUAAGAGGGGCUCACGCAAAUUUUCAAAACUAUGGCUUUGGAUACAUGCACGAUGCUCAAUUUUAACAUAAUAUUGAGCAUAAUGAUUAUUAAUCGUUCUAUGAACAUCCUUCAAGAUUAAUUCUGGAUUUA
rnacentral:lncRNA from 1 species